GGAGGUGAAGGAUGAGGAAGAAAAAGGGGAGGAGUUGCCUCCAGAUGUUGAGACUUUGACCACAACAAUUGAAUAAACAUGUGAUUAUCAUGAACUAUUAUGUGUGCUACCAUUUCCUUUUGUGCUUUUCUAAUUACUAGCGGGAAUGUUUAGCUUCUACAAAAAUAAUAGGAAUGAGUUUCUGUACACCGGUGGCUAUGUUUGAAUUGUUAAUAGUGAGACUGAGAGAGUGGUAUGGUUAGGAUGUUAGAUUUGUGCUUCCAGUGAUUGAUUAGUAUCUUUUUUGGUAGCUGGUAUGUGUUAGUUUUACCAUAAGCUAAAAGUUUAAGUAGAAUGAAGUGGAUGUGUUGUGCCAAAUUAAAUGAAUUUUCAUAUGCUCCUACCCAGGCUCUGCUUUGUGUGUUUUGAACUCCUUUGUGAUGUUGAACAAUUGUGCUUAUUAGUUGGUAAUUUACUGAUAUUCCAUUGUCAGUCCAUUAUAUUGUUGUUUAAUAGAAUAUUUGUGUGUGUCUCAUUGGAUAUUGAGUUAUUGACAGAUAUGUUUUCCAUACCAAAACAAUGUUCUUAAACAUGCAUUUCAGGAUGAGUGAUUGGAAAAUGUUCGGAUUCUUUUGCAAGAUCAAAGUUUCUAUGCACUUAAUCAGCUUGUGGAUUUCAUCAUCUUGGUAAUUUUACAAAAAUUAAAACUCUGGUAUAAUUGAUCAUGCACUUUGCAGUAGGUUGCAGUUUACUUUAGUUUUUUACACUCACAUUCUCAGUUCUUUGGUCUUUAGGUCGGCAAGUUUGUACGACAAAGGCGACCCGGAGUCACCGUCCCUUGAAAGCGCCCCACUUCCGGAUGAUGAUAGGUUGCGCAUUGCCAGCGAGUUUAGAAUUGUGCCACAUGGUGAUGGGGGCCAUUAUCUCCUUGUCGCCCUCUGUGACAAAGUGAAAUUGAAGGAUUACAUGUUUCACAUCUUCUUUAUGUUGAAAUUGUCUUGUAUGUUGUUUAGACCUUUUAAAGGCAACAUGCCACACAUAUCUUUGUUUUGGUGUUCAGAGCUACAUAUGGUACUCUUCAUGGUUUCUGUUGCGAGUAACAGGGAUAUCAGGUUUUUGUACUUACCUAUAUGGUCAUAUCUGAACCUAUAAACUGUUGUUAGGAUAGAUACAAGGUGUGCAUGAUCUUCUUUCUAUUGAUUCAUACUUACAUAUGUAGACCAUAUUUUAUCAACUUAUCUAUACUAUACUCAAAGCACCAGUUUCAACGGUCAUCAUGCGUCAUUUUUUUAUAAAUAACCCCUCACAGCUAUUUUAAAUUAAUUCGUUGCACGUCUAUAGAUGCCAAACGACGUCCGACACGGGCUAGAUGCACGCGGGUCACAACUAUGGCAUAGGCGCGUCAUGCCGGCCUGCUAACUGUGUCGGGCCAGCCCGUUAGCCCGUCGAUCUAUUUAAUUAAAUCAGCGUAACGACGUCCGACACGGGCUAGAUGCACGCGGGCCACAACUAUGGCACAGGCACGUCAUGCCGGCCUGCUAAUUGUGACGGCCCAGCCCGUUAGCCCGUCGAUCCAUUUAAUUAAAUCAGCGUAAAAUGUUAAAAAAUGAUGCAGGAGGUGGGGUUUGAACCUAUGCCCUGAUGGAAGAAGGGCAGGAGACACUGGGUGAAACUGUCUAACCGGUAGAACAUCACGCUAAGAUGUUUUUAAUAUUGAAUAUAAAUUGUAUAUAGGUAUAUACAUUUUUUUGUAAAAUAAAAAAAAUAAUCGUGUCGGGCCGGGCCAGCACUACGGGCCGAGGCUACAACCCAAGCACAGCACGACGUUCUUGGCUCUUGCAAGCAUUAGGUCGUUUCUGCGACGUUCUUGGCUCUUGCAAGCAUUAGGUCGUUUCUGAGACCACAUUGGCGCAAUUUACUACAUGGUGUUUGAGGUUACUAAAUUGGAUGGAGCAGCAAUGAUUUGACACACUAACAACAAAAAUGAAAGGUUAUUUGUUGGUUUUAAACAUUAGUAAUUGCUACGAAUUAUCAUAAUUUAUAUGGAGCACAUCCAGUUUUUAUUGAUGCCUGACUUUAGCAAUCACUCCAUAUUUUGAUCUAUCUUUUUUAUAAGUUUGACUUCAUGGGACUUAUUUUAGAAACUUGGUCUCACAAACUCUCUUAUUUGGUCUCUAUAUGAUGGAAUUAUGUCAUUUUAGAAACUUGAUCUCACAAACUUUCUCGUUGUGAACUGUAACAUUCCAAAAUCGUAUCUUGGUGAGUUAAAUUCCCUAAAGAUUUAAAAUCUCAAGCGUAUUAUAACAAGUUACGAAUUGAGACUUUCUUCCCUAAAAUUUAAUAAAGAGUAGAUAUAAAAUGUUGGCUAUAUAAAAAACUAUAAUAAAUAGGAUAGUGAGUUAUUCUAUAUAAAUUACUCCUAUGGGGUAUAUAUAACUAUGUGAACUCCAUGCUUAUUAAAUUUCAUACAUACAAAUACUUAUUUGAACAAAGUAAAUAAGGAGUAAAUAAAUGUGAAAUAAUCAUUUCAUAUUGGUGUUUGUUUGUGCAUUCAAAUAGGGUCUGGAUUUCAAAACCUCACUUGAAAUUGAAUUUGAAAUCUGAAAAUAGGAAAGAAGAUAAGAAAAUAAAUGAAAAAAAUAAAAAAAGGGAAGAUCCACUUGCGUUGCAGCCCACCCCCACAUUCCCCCAGCCAGCCCACAUCCCUAUUUUGUAUUAUUUUAUUCCCCUUGCCACGGAUGACAUCACACCUUACGUCAUCAUGCAAGCCAAAUUCUAUCUCCAUCGUAUCUGGGAGUCUGCUCCCCGGCAUUCGUAACAAACACCGUGAUUUGGAAUGACCAAGCGCUGCGACCGUUCCGUAUUUCGGGGUGAUACACCGGGCGAUUUUCCCGCGCGGACUCCACCCGUGAUGCAUAAAAGCCAAGCUUGAGUCCCAGCUCCGCUUCUCCCACUCCCAGGCCAGCCACCUCGAAUCGCAUCCGCGUCUACUCCGCGUGCUAUCCCGUCGCAGCCUCAGCUGUACACCGGCGAUGAAUUUCGCCUGUGUCUGGACUUUGGUGUUGACACACGGCGAAAACUGGUCGGUCGGGCCGUGGUGAGUUCGCCAACUAGGCCGGCUCAUCCCCGUCGUUGACCGUCGCACCUGCGCCUGCUGUCGUGGGAAACUGAGGGGAGAGAAGGGAGUGACCGCCGCCACAGAUGAGGCUAGCCAGAGAAUCCUCCUGCUGCGCGCCGAAGCGGAAAUAUCUUCCUGCUUCCGUGAUUCACGCUAGAUACUUAGACGCUAGGUGUCGGGCGGGUUAUCUCUGGUGGGGCAUGGCCACGGCGCGCCAGUGCUCUGGUUCUUGUCGCGUUGGGGAAGACGGCUUGGUAGCCGGAGAUUUGAAGACUAGCGGUCGAGAUCGGAUAAGCAUGCUGUUUGUGGGAACCAUAAUCUGGGUUGUUGGAUUGGGAUCCAACGGUGGGGGAUAGAUCGCGCGUUAAUACAACCCCGUCCAUGGAUCUCGGAUCCUAUGGACCCGAUGACAUACCGUUUCACGGGGUGGCCGGUAGAAUCAGGGUCGUUGGCCUCUAAUCCAACGGAUCUCGUUUGACCAUACCCUUUCGGCCACACAUUUUGCAAAAGAGCCCCUAUACUUUCCUAAAAACACCCCACAGUCUAGCCUUACUGUGCACUGAGAUUUAGGACUUUUAUGAGUUAGACCCCUAGGCUUCUUUGAUUUAGCGCGCGCAGACCAGGAAUUGGAUAAUUAAAGAAAAGGAAUAUAAACUGAUUUUUAAUGCAAUAGUAAUUACUAGAACUUGUAUAAUUCAUAGAAAAUUCAUAUAGAGUCUAAAUUGGUCCAUUCCAGCUCCUAUAAUUUUGUAAAAUUAUUGUUUAUCAAUUAGUGCCACUGUUUUGACAUGAAAACAUAUAUUAAAUUGGAUCACCUAAUUAAUCUUGUACAAAACAUAUGGAAUCUUCAGAAAAUCAUAACUCCUGCGUCUUAAUUCCGAAUUUACUCGUUCCAGUCGCGUUAGUCUCGUAUAAAUAUUUACUACGCAGUAACAACAUUUAUUAUACCAUGUCUCACUAUUUUAUAAUUAGAUCUGUAUUGAACUGAGGUUGGUUAGUCUGGUUAAACUACUUAUCAUUAUAAUCUACUAGAAUAUGAUCUAUGGUCAAUUCAUAACUUAGAUUAAAGUGGAGAUAAUUAUUUAUAGAAUAACCUCUCAAAUGAUUUAUAUUAACCAAUUUAUAAUAUAGUUUAAUAUUUUAACCACACAGAUCUUUUAUAAAAUCAUAACCCCUUAAUUGUGACUCCGAUCUUAGUAGUUCUCGAUCCCGCGAUCUCGUAGCUUCGCGUAGACUAUUAUUACGCAGUUUAUUCUUAUGAUUGGUGUAAUGUUAAUUUUAGCCUAUACCAUGUUUGUCUGUAUUGCUACGUUUAGCAGUGAGGACACAUGUCAUCUGAAGAUCAUCCUGGUACCUGGAAUCUCAAGUCCCAGGCAAGUUGUGCCCUUGAUCACUUCUUUUACCCAGUCAUGUUCUGAUUAAUCAUAAUGAUCUUCAUAGAUUAAUUUUGAUGGGACCCAAUAUGUUACCCCAGUUUGACUAUCUUUAUACCUUGAUUACCACUACACUUUUGGGUACUACCUGCUAUUGCUUUAUGUGGUUAUGGGUAUGGAGAUACAUUUUAUUCAUGAUUAUACUUUUAUUAUCAGUUGUUAAUUACUGUUCAUGAUAAGAUCAUUAUGUUAAUUGGAACAUGGAGAACCACCCGGGAAAACAGUGCUACCACAAGGGUUUAUGGACGCCCUUGGCUGAUUAAUUAGGAAAGCUAGUGGAUGACUACCUUACCCGAAAGGGGCAAGGGCAGUAGGGGAGUGGUCAGUGUAGGGAGGCCCUUGGGAUGAUUUUGCUGCGAUGGCGGUCAUGCGAGGGAUUCCUGCAUUGGAGCUUUCUAUAAACUGUAGCGGGUUUUCUGAAGCUAGUGGAACUUUGUAAAGGCCUCGUAGUGUUACCCUGCCUCGCCUCCUCGGUAGAGGUGUAUGGGAUUGGCCGUCUCUUGGCAGAUGGGUAACAUGACUUGUGGGUAAAGAUGCACAACCUCUGCAGAGUGUAAAACUAGUAUACUAGCCGUGCUCACGGUCAUGAGCAGCUCGGACACUCACAUGAUUAAAUUAUGGAACCUAAACUCAAUUUGUCAUAUGCAUUGCAUCGCAGGUGAGGUUGUUACUUCUGUUCUACUAUUUAAUUGGGUUGGUAUUUACUUAUACUUAGUAACUGCUAAUAAAAUUUUGACCAACUUUAAAAGCAAUGCUCAACUCUAACCAUCCUCUUUGGUAAGCCUUACACUUCACGUGAGCUCCCACCGUUGGCGAGUUCAUGCAUAUUAUUCCCCACAACUUGUUGAGCGAUGAACGUAUGUGAGCUCACUCUUGCUGUCUCACACCCCCCACAGGUCAAGAGCAGGUACCGCAGGAUGAGGCGCAUGGAGGAUGCUGCGAUGAGUUCGUGAGAGAUCUAGGCCGUCGUCUCCUAGUCAACUUUGGGUUGCUGGACCGUUGUCUCCAUAUAAUGUAAUUAUUUAUUUAUUUUGUACAAAACUCCGAUUAUAUAGUAAAGAUGUGACAUUCGAUCCUGUGCCAUGAUUCAUCAUAUGUGUGAGACUUGGUCCCAGCACACCUGGUGAUUAUGUUCGCGCCCGGGUCUUGGUGCCCCGAAACCCGGGUGUGACAGAAGUGGUAUCAGAGGAAUGUUGACUGUAGGAUGAAACCUAGAUAGAACUGGACAACCAUUGUCUACUUACCUCUGCUACUCUUAUUCUUUCUAAACUUAUCUUAAUCUUUUCUCAUCUAUUUCCGCUUUACUCUGAUUAUUCUUAUCUUUUCUUUCUAAAAGACAAAAGUGGAUUUCACACUUUGAAAUCUUGUACCUAAAGUGACUUUUAGGAAUAGGAGACCUAAUCUUAGGAACAAAAACAAAACUAUUUUUUUAUAUCUAUGCACUUGAAUGUUUGUUCUUAUGAUACUUGUCUGAUUUGGAUCUUUGAUUGAGUGUGAUGGGUUGUGGAGUAAUGUCCACAAUUACAUCUGCAUAUAUAUAAUGCUUAUAAAACUAACUAGAUAAACUAGAUUAUCCCUCAUUAAAAUAUCCAGCCUAACAAUAUCUAUCUCAUCUUAAAAGAUUCUAUCUUGUCCCAAUAGAUUCAUCUUGUCCUGAUAAACAUACUUACCCCAUCCUGACCAUUAUCUAAUCAAAGUUAAUUAGAUCCAAGUCGGUCUAAGUCAAACCGAUCUAAUUUAGAUCCCAUUAAAUACCAUUAAACAUAGUGUGAUCUAAUCUAAUGUGACCUAACAGAUCAAUCUAAUCUAACCUAGUUCAAUCAGAUCUAAUCUGAAUAUACAUAAUCUCAUCUAAUCUAAUAUGAUCUAAUCUAAUGUUAGUUAACGUUGAUGGAAUGGGUUAGACUCUACCCCUAUAAAACAUAAUUUAACUUAAUUAACUCUGCACUAAAUUAGUACCAUAGACCAACUUGACCAUAUACCACUAUUUGACCUACAUGCAUAAUCCGUAUAGAUCAACAUAAAUUAAAAACACCCAAGAUUUUGAACUAUCUCAUAAAACCUAUCCUACCCACAUCUAUCUACUUGUCCAUAAACUCAGAUGAUAACUCCAAGAUUAAAGACCGAAGAUGAUCAACCUCAUCAAGGAAGGAUAAGCACCAACUCAAGCCUUCAAAGACCAAGCUGGAUCAUCAGAUGAGUCAAGACCCACUAUGCAUGAUGGAGACUUUCCUUGCCAAAAUCUUUCUUUCUUAUACAUGUCUUGAUGUUUCUUACCCCAACUUUCUUACUAAUAGCUAAAACAUGGUUAUAAGGUACCCAUGCUAUCCUAGUCACCUAAUAGUUAGUCUUAAAAAACACUUUAUGCUUUGGUACCAGUUGGAAACUAGAAGCGAAAUACAAACAAAACCUUUUAUAUCUCUUUUCUUAGUAAUCUCGGGGACGAGAUUAUUUUUAAGGGGGGUAGAAUUUGUAACAUUCCAAAAUCGUAUCUUGGUGAGUUAAAUUCCCUAAAGAUUUAAAAUCUCAAGCGUAUUAUAACAAGUUACGAAUUGAGACUUUCUUCCUUAAAAUUUAAUAAAUAGUAGAUAUAAAAUGUCGGCUAUAUAAAAAACUAUAAUAAAUAGGAUAGUGAGUUAUUCUAUAUAAAUUACUCCUAUGGGGUAUAUAUAACUAUGUGAACUCCAUGCUUAUUAAAUUUCAUACAUACAAAUACUUAUUUGAACAAAGUAAAUAAGGAGUAAAUAAAUGUGAAAUAAUCAUUUCAUAUUGGUGUUUGUUUGUGCAUUCAAAUAGGGUCUGGAUUUCAAAACCUCACUUGAAAUUGAAUUUGAAAUCUGAAAAUAGGAAAGAAGAUAAGAAAAUAAAUGAAAAAAAAUAAAAAAAGGGAAGAUCCACUUGCGUUGCAGCCCACCCCCACAUUCCCCCAGCCAGCCCACAUCCCUAUUUUGUAUUAUUUUAUUCCCCUUGCCGCGGAUGACAUCACACCUUACGUCAUCAUGCAAGCCAAAUUCUAUCUCCAUCGUAUCUGGGAGUCUGCUCCCCGGCAUUCGUAACAAACACCGUGAUUUGGAAUGACCAAGCGCUACGACCGUUCCGUAUUUCGGGGUGAUACACCGGGCGAUUUUCCCGCGUGGACUCCACCCGUGAUGCAUAAAAGCCAAGCUUGAGUCCCAGCUCCGCUUCUCCCACUCCCAGGCCAGCCACCUCGAAUCGCAUCCGCGUCUACUCCGCGUGCUAUCCCGUCGCAGCCUCAGCUGUACACCGGCGAUGAAUUUCGCCUGCGUCUGGACUUUGGUGUUGACACACGGCGAAAACUGGUCGGCGGGGCCGUGGUGAGUUCGCCAACUGGGCCGGCUCAUCCCCGUCGUUGACCGUCGCACCUGCGCCUGCUGUCGUGGGAGACCGAGGGGAGAGAAGGGAGUUGCCGCCGCCACAGAUGAGGCUAGCCAGAGAAUCCUCCUGCUGCGCGCCGAAGCGGAACAGCGCCUGGCACCACCGUGACCUUGGGUAAGAAAUAUCUUCCUGCUUCCGUGAUUCACGCUAGAUACUUAGACGCUAGGUGCCGGGCGGGUUAUCUCUGGUGGGGCAUGGCCACGGCGCGCCAGUGCUCUGGUUCUUGUCGCGUUGGGGAAGAUGGCUUGGUAGCCGGAGAUUUGAAGACCAGCGGUCGAGAUCGGAUAAGCAUGCUGUUUGUGGGAACCAUAAUCUGGGCUGUUGGAUUGGGAUCCAACGGUGGGGGAUAGAUCGCGCGUUAAUACAACCCCGUCCAUGGAUCUCGGAUCCUACGUACCCGAUGACAUACCGUUUCACGGGGUGGCCGGUAGAAUCAGGGUCGUUGGCCUCUAAUCCAACGGAUCUCGUUUGACCAUACCCUUUCGACCACACAUUUUGCAAAAGAGCCCCUAUACUUUCCUAAAAACAACCCGCAGUCUAGCCUUACUGUGCACUGAGACUUAGGACUUUUAUGAGUUAGACCCCUGGGCUUCUUUGAUUUAGCGCGCGCAGACCAGGAAUUGGAUAAUUAAAGAAAAGGAAUAUAAACUGAUUUUUAAUGCAAUAGUAAUUACUAGAACUUGUAUAAUUCAUAGAAAAUUCAUAUAGAGUCUAAAUUGGUCCAUUCUAGCUCCUAUAAUUUUGUAAAAUUAUUGUUUAUCAAUUAGUGCCACUGUUUUGACAUGAAAACAUAUAUUAAAUUGGAUCACCUAAUUAAUCUUGUACAAAACAUAUGGAAUCUUCAGAAAAUCAUAACUCCCGUGUCUUAAUUCCGAAUUUACUCGUUCCAGUCGCGUUAGUCUCGUAUAAAUAUUUACUACGCAGUAACAACAUUUAUUAUACCAUGUCUCACUAUUUUAUAAUUAGAUCUGUAUUGAACUGAGGUUGGUUAGUCUGGUUAAACUACUUAUCAUUAUAAUCUACUAGAAUAUGAUCUAUGGUCAAUUCAUAACUUAGAUUAAAGUGGAGAUAAUUAUUUAUAGAAUAACCUCUCAAAUGAUUUAUAUUAACCAAUUUAUAAUAUAGUUUAAUAUUUUAACCACACAGAUCUUUUAUAAAAUCAUAACCCCUUAAUUGUGACUCCGAUCUUAGUAGUUCUCGAUCCCGCGAUCUCGUAGCUUCUUGUAGACUAUUAUUACGCAGUUUAUUCUUAUGAUUGGUGUAAUGUUAAUUUUAGCCUAUACCAUGUUUGUCUGUAUUGUUACGUUUAGCAGUGAGGACACAUGUCAUCUGAAGAUCAUCCUGGUACCUGGAAUCUCAAGUCCCAGGCAAGUUGUGCCCUUGAUCACUUCUUUUACCCAGUCAUAUUCUGAUUAAUCAUAAUGAUCUUCAUAGGUUAAUUUUGAUGGGACCCAAUAGGUUACCCCAGUUUGACUAUCUUUAUACCUUGAUUACCACUACACUUUUGGGUAGUACCUGCUAUUGCUUUAUGUGGUUAUGGGUAUGGAGAUACAUUUUAUUUAUGAUUAUACUUUUAUUAUCAGUUGUUAAUUGCUGUUCAUGAUAAGAUCAUUAUGUUAAUUGGAACAUGGAGAACCACCCGGGAAAACAGUGCUACCACAAGGGUUUAUGGACGCCCUUGGCUGAUUAAUUAGGAAAGCUAGUGGAUGACUACCUUACCCGAAAGGGGCAAGGGCAGUAGGGGAGUGGUCAGUGUAGGGAGGCCCUUGGGAUGAUUUUGCUGCGAUGGCGGUCAUACGAGGGAUUCCUGCAUUGGAGCUUCCUAUAAACUGUAGCGGGUUUUCUGAAGCUAGUGGAACUUUGUAAAGGCCUCGUAGUGUUACCCUGCCUCGCCUCCUCGAUAGAGGUGUAUGAGAUUGGCCGUCUCUUGGCAGAUGGGUAACAUGACUUGUGGGUAAAGAUGCACAACCUCUGCAGAGUGUAAAACUGGUAUACUAGCCGUGCUCACGGUCAUGAGCAGCUCGGACACUCACAUGAUUAAAUUAUGGAACCUAAACUCAAUUUGUCAUAUGCAUUGCAUCGCAGGUGAGGUUGUUACUUCUGUUCUACUAUUUAAUUGGGUUGGUAUUUACUUAUACUUAGUAACUGCUAAUAAAAUUUUGACCAACUUUAAAAGCAAUGCUCAGCUCUAACCAUCCUCUUUGGUAAGCCUUACACUUCACGUGAGCUCCCACCGUUGGCGAGUUCAUGCACAUUAUUCCCCACAACUUGUUGAGCGAUGAACGUAUGUGAGCUCACUCUUGCUGUCUCACACCCCCCACAGGUCAAGAGCAGGUACCGCAGGAUGAGGCGCAUGGAGGAUGCUGCAAUGAGUUCGUGAGAGAUCUAGGCCGUCGUCUCCCAGUCAACUUUGGGUUGCUGGACCGUUGUCUCCAUAUAAUGUAAUUAUUUAUUUAUUUUGUACAAAACUCCGAUUAUAUAGUAAAGAUGUGACAUUCGAUCCUUUGCCAUGAUACAUCAUAUGUGUGAGACUUGGUCCCAGCACACCUGGUGAUUAUGUUCGCGCCCGGGUCUUGGUGCCCCGAAACCCGGGUGUGACAUGAACUCUUUUCUAAUUGCUCACUUUAUUGGCCGUGUUGUACCAAGAUAUAUUUGCAUGGAGUAAACAAUAACACUAGUUAGCUAAAUCAAAAAAUAUAUUAUACAGAGAGUAGAGACAAUUAAAUAAAAAAUCUUGAAAUUUUUUUGAUGGAUAAUUUACAUGGGUAUUGUUGUAAGUCGUCGCAACGCACGGGCAACCGACUAGUAAAAAGUUAAUGCUUCACCGAUGUUUAUCAAAGAACUCUACUUUUUCUAUGCAUAAGUGAGAGCAUAUAUACAUACUGCACGCUACUUUGCUCUCCAUCUGAGUCUACAAAAAUAAAAUAACUUAAGUGCUAUUGAUUCCCUGUUCACGGCUUAUGGGUUUAUCGGUUUUUGUAGCCAUUGAAAUCUCAGAAUGCGAGAUCACAGAGUUGGGGACCUCUUCAAAGGAACCAAAUCCCUACUACUCUAUAAGCACGGUGUGUAGGCGUCCACACCAUGCACCAUGUCCUGCCUCUCCCCCGGCCACCUCCGUAACUCCGUAAGAACCCUGACAAUGUCGCCCGUAAUCGCCGCCUAGGAUGUCGUAUGGCCGCUGCGAUGCCCCCAUCUACCCAGCGACCCCCAGUUCCCCCGUUGCGUUACUCCCCUAAUCACCGCCGAGGGACCUCUUCCACCUACGCGCGCGCGACUACUUCUGCGGCGACGGGAAGCGCGGCAAGGAGCCGUCCGCCGCGUACUAGCUGCUCUGCCCUGCCGGCGUUGACUGGUCCCGCGCGCACCUCGACCACGUGCUUGCCCGCGAAGAGAACCGCGUCGCCGCCACAUUCCGCCACGCGCGCCUCGGGAAGGACCCCUCUGCAGCCCCGCCGCAUGCCGCGCCCGCAACAUGGCGUCGUCCAUCCGCACCCACCAUCCGUGCGCUGCACCGCGUCAGGCUCCUCAUCUUCGAGGUCGCUCCGGUGCUGACCUCCAUGUCUCCCCGAUCAGCACCAACUACACCAUCAAGAUGUUGUCGUGCAGGGUACGUGGCUUGGUUGUCUGCCUCCCCGUCUUAUAUCCACAACUCUGAUCCCCGCGCUCGGCGCUUCGUCUUGCGGUCCGAACCGAACCUUCACUCACCUGAGCUCUUGAUAAUUUUCAGUUCGAGGGACCAGAGGCACUUGAGCAGCAGAAUGUACUCUUCUCAGGUACGUUCUUUUACCAUCAAUGCAUCGAUCUGUGUCUGUGAUGUGUUCUUCUACAUCUGUUCAUCCGAGUUGUCUACUUAGUUUUGGCAGCAUUCAUGAGUAGCCAUAUAACGUGGAGUGCCAUAAAAGAUGAUAACAAAAAGAUAAAAUGGAAAUUAGAUUUCUUUUAAUUUCAACAUAUCUUAUCAUAAUACGUUCACUUCGUAGCAAUGCACAGACGUUUAUCUAGUAUAUCAUUAAGAUAGAUAACAUACAAUUGACAUCACCGUGGGGCAAAUAUCUUCAUUGUUCAACAAUUGUUUCAAGUGUACUGUUGGAAGCCACUGAACAAAUAAAAAGCACUUGUUGGAGUCAUGAAAAUGAAACAAUUUUAGUAAUGUAAAAUAAUGAAAAUGAAAUCACCAAUCAGGCAACCACCACACCUUUCUUUAUCUGUCUAUUCUUAUUGCCAAUUGCGAGCCGCCCAGCCCUUUCUCUGUCUGGUGUCUGUCGAACAGACGAAGUGGAGUGUCCCACUGUCCCGCGGCCGAGUGAGUGGCAGUGGCCAGUGGGCCGGACACCUGGACCGCCGGUGGCCGGUGUCCCGUUGGGGGACGGGGGAGCUGCCGCGAUGGGCGGCGCCGUGACGGGGCGCUGAGCCGCUGACGCCCGCAGGGCGCAGGGCGCAACUGAAGACCGCGAGGGCCGAAGCGUGAGCGCCGAGCAGGACUAUCUGAGCGAGGCCGGAGGGGGCGAGUAGGCGAGGGGCGGAGGUAGCUAACUUGGUCUGGCUGGGUGAGGGCGUGAGGCGGCGCCGACGCUGGCCGGACCAACGGAGGGAGGCAGGAGAUGGAAUCCUGGCAGCUGGCGCUGGCGGCGGAUUUGGGCGAUUGCUGCCUCUUGCACUAAAUUUUAAAUUUAAGAAGUAAAGUAAAAAAACUUGUUAAAUGUAGUAACUUGCUAUCCAACUUAAUUUGGGCUCCUAGAUAGCCACUUCCGAUAACAGUUGUCACUGACUAUUUUCACGCCCGUGUAGAUAUUUGUCGCUUUUUUUUAAACCCGCGAGGCAAAGAUCAAGCAAACAUUAUUAAAAUAAUCAAGGCACAAUGAUUAGAUCAUAGGAGAAUAUGGCUACAGGAUGCGAAUACCAAGUGGAGUUGUGCAGAUACAUAUGCUACUUCCAACUUGUUGCAGCUGUGCGCCGCCAGGGUUGUUUACUGCAGUUGUGUGCCGCCAAGGAGAUCUGCCACCAAGGACAUCCGUCACUAGAGAGAGGUCAAACCCAGAAAACACAAGGAGAUCUGCCACCAAGGACAUCCGUCACUAGAGAGAGGUCAAACCCAGAAAACAAGCACACGUAAAGGAAAACGAAAAAAUGGACCCACCAAAUCUAGAUUCAAAAUUAAAAUACUCUCUAAAUAUUAGGAAUCGUUGUAGACCAAACUACUUUUUACUGUCAAUAACUAUUUAGCAACUUGUUAAACAUGAGUUUAGGGAGCUCUUUUGUAGAGAACAAUUGGAGAUGGCCACCUCAAACAGAUCCCCUAUCACCUCCUUUAUCUUAUCUCAAAUUUCAAACUACAAACUAUAAACAAUGUCAAACAAUGUCAUUUAUUUUUCUGUGCACCCUAUUUUACUGUAUGACAGUAUUAAGGAUUAGAUUGCAGCAACAAGGAAUGAGAAAAACAGCCCACAGAGGAUAUGGACAUGUUCUAACCAUAUGGGCCAUGCCUCGGGAUAUGAUCAGUGUGGCCUGGUGCCUAAAUUUGCAUCUGGGACAAACGAAUAGGUCACUCAGUCCGAAACAUUCGUCAAAAUGGGUCACACAUCCUUUUUCACACCUAAUGAGUGGGCUCGUGACCAUAGUGCCCUUACGGUAAAUCAAUGUUGUUCAAAUCUUCUCCUCCGACAAGAUCUCUUGUUUCCCCAUCUACUUUCUCAUCUUGGCAACUUAGAUUUGCCCCGGUGGGAUCUCUCUCCUCUUUAGUCUUUGCCCCCAACGAGUUCUCCUUGGCAGGCUUCUCCCCUGGUGUUGUGUUCUUCUUCAAAUCUCCAACCAGGCUACCCUCCCCUGCUACCGGCGCCAUUGGAAAACUCCAAAGCUAUCACAAGGUAUGUUGUAGACCAAUUUUUUAGCUCCAACGAAUUCGUGCUCGGUUUGUUUGUAUGGUAUUUUGCACAGCACAACAUGGCCUUACAUCUUGCAUAGCCAAUGUCACCAUGCAAGUAUUGAUGAGCUUAUGACCUAGCUUAUAUCACAUUGUUGCCUCGUUGUCGAUCCAUUCAAAACCAAAGUGAACAAGAAAGCACCAUUUUAUUCAUAUUCCUUUUUGAUCAAGUACGAUACUUACUUUAUCUUGUAUGUGUUAACUAUCUCAAUUUAUUUGUGCUAACACUAGAAUAGGGAGGAUAAUGUUUACUGCUAGCACAAUGGAUGGUAAUGAACAUGACAGAGUUGACUGGUCUAGCUUUCUAAUUCCUAGUGCUAAAAAUCUAGAAAAUGAGGGUAGUGAUGAUAUAUUUAGAAUUUGUGACGAGGAUAAGAUGUAUGUGUUCUUGGGACUUGGAGAUGAGGAGAUGAAUUAAACCCACCCGAAACCAUUUAACUUUGCAUCUCAUUUUUCAUCAGAAAAUGCUAGUUUAGAUCCAAGUGAUUUAGAUGUUGCCAUGCCUGUUGAUGACGAAAAUGCAGAAAUGUUGAAUAUAUUGCAUAAUGUUGAUCACCCUGAUAUGAAGUUGGGUACUACAUAUCCAUCAAUGAAAGAGUUUAGGCUAGUUGUGAGGCAAUUUUCUAUAAACGAGGAGUUUGAGCUUGGCAUAACAAAAUCAGAUAGAAGUAGAUAUAGAGUGUGCUGCAAAGGGAAUGAUUGCACAUGUCCUUGGAAACUGAAUGGUUCUAGAAGACCAGAUUCUAGUGUUAUGGUACUAACCUUUCUUCUAUUUCUUUUGAACCUAAUAGUUGUGGUCAUGAAAAUUGCUAAUAAUUAUCUAUGUUCCAUUGUUUUGUAGGUUACAAUCAUAGUGAAUGAGCAUAAAUGUGCCUCAAGCAGCUAGGUAAACUACGGGAAUGUCAAUAGAGCAUGGGUAGCACAGAAAGCCUUGCCUUUACUUGUGACAGACCUCCCAAGUUAUCAGGCCCAUAUGCACCAAUCCUUGCCUUAAUGACCUCAGAUGGUUGUGCACGUGUACCGGGUAACUAACCAAGGCUAUCGAGUUCGCCAACUGGAACUCAUCAUCCCAAGGAUCUCCCACAUAACAGAUAUAUUACAGUAAUCACAUUUGAUACACACAUAUUGGAGAUAGAGCGGAAGACUUUUACAAAGUACACUUUACAUUCCAGAACUCAAGUUUUACAUGGAAGAAAAAUAUGUAUUUAUUAUAAGUCCUGAAUAGUACUCGAAGUGCAUAACUUAUUACAAUAAUUUGAAGGGUGAAGCCUUUCCAUAAGAGAUAUAUAAAAACAUUCUAAGCUUCAAGUCCUCCACAUGAAGUAACUAACCCAAAGAUAAGGGAAUAAAACUUCUCCUACAAAAACAACAAGGGAUAAAACCCUGAGUAUGCAAUUACUCAGCAAGACUUACCCGACUAAGGAAAAGACUCUCAAGGGUAUGCUGGCUUUUGGGAAUCAAGGUAAAGCUCAUCAAUUAUCAAGGACUCCUUUUUGCAGAAAAGCAGGCUUACUAAUAAUGGAUCCUUAAGCCAAGUUUUACUUCACAAGUUAGGUUAUUACCUGAAUCUAGCAUUUGCCUAAUCUAGAUCAUUCACUUGACCUAAACUAGGUCGCUUUUACUCAAAGCUUUGUUAUACUUGUUAACUACGCUGCAGGUCGAAGAUCUAGUCUUCAUAACCGAAAAGUAACGGCGAUCCGAAUCGAUUAAUACCCAGCUGGGGAUCUCCAACCACACGACAUAUGCUUCCCUAAUUCUUUUGCACAUGUCUAUCAUUCCCACGGAUCCUCCACCACAUGAACAUGUCCACGUCACCCGAGAGCACGGUACUCCACCAUCUAGCCAUGUGCCAGGUGGGUACACGCCACUCUCACCAUCUCUCCACUCCCAGUGUGCGAUUGUAUUUUCACGUAUGGAAUAGCCGGGUUCAGGCUUACCCAUGACGAGGUAUGUGGCUAGAUAAAAGGUCCUAGAUCAGCAAGCCAACAAUCGGUGCAGUCCUUAAUCGACAUAGACGGGCGACUUUUCCUGCUCAGCGUCUGGUCUCAUUUUAAAUUAUUUCAAAACUUUGGCACCUGGUAGAGGGGCUAUGCCUGGAUAAUGAAUUUAUCAACGUCUUGAUGCCUUCAUUAUCCCAAGCCCAUUUUCUUUUUUGUAAAAGCAUGAGUCAUAGAUCAAAAACAUUUUUCUUAAUCUAUCAGCGUGACUAAGCAUCACUAGCUUUUAUUAAACAUGUAACAAUGUAUGGUAAUCAAGCUUUCAAGAAUGGUAAUGCAUCAAGAGUUUAAUCAAUCAAUUCCUAUCACCUAAUGCAGCAUAUAAGUGAUAAAAUUUUGUAAACACAAGGAAGGUGACAAAUGCACCGGGGCUUGCCUUGGUGAGGAGGAGAGUCAGGCUCUUCUACCAGGAUAUUGCAGUUAGCAGCAAAUCCAAAUGGGGCACCUUCCGGAGGACCUUCGGAGAGACCUUCAGCUGGAGAGACUUUAGAUUGAGAAGUUGGCUCCGCUUCCACUUCCACUUCAAUUUCUUCUUCUAGGUGCUCUACAAGUCAAUUACAAGUAUAUGGAUGCUUAUGAAAUGUUAUGAAAUGCAAACUCUCACUAGGCAGUUGUGGAAAACUUAAAUAUUUUUAAAUAAGCGCAUAGCGAUUAUACACAUAGUUCUAGGUUUCUUAAUGUUGACCCAAAGUGAUCAAAUUAAACUCAUUUCAAAUAACCAGAGAAAUAAAUAGACUACAGUUUACCAACUAGUUUCUUAAUAUUUUGUAUGAUUUAAACUUUAUUUGACCCUAAUUUAGUAUCAAGGUUUAAUGUUUUAAAUAUAUAUAUAUAUACUUAGCUAGUUUAUUGUUUCCUGAGUAACUUGAAUCCAAGCAGGCUCAGAUUUUUGCCAUGAGUUAUUCUAAGGGUAUAUAAUAUUUUUUUACAGGAACUACAUAUUGUUGUCAACUCUGAAAAAAAUUGGUUUCACUAUUUUGGCACUUUUCCUCGAUUUAUAACAGGUUUCACUAGUUAUCAGUUUAUAGUUAAAAGAAAAUCCUAGAGCAGUACUGUGCUUGAAACUACCCAAGCAGCCCACUGCCCACCAGAAAACCACGCCCCGCCGAACCCUACAGCUGCUAUCUUCAUUUCGCAAUAAACACCCUUGGUUUUAAAAUAGUUACGCAGGGACCCUUGGUACUAUUCCAUGUGUCGUGGAUAUUUGCACCGGGGUUCUUUCCUUUCUGUGUAUUCUCAAACCCCGGUCCAUGCUUCUACUCGUGCGACGAACCCAGGUCCAAAACCUGGCCUGCGCGCAAACACCUGCGGCCGAAGACUUUACCAGUGAAAAUUAGACUGCCGCAUAUCAAGUCUUUAGUGGACCAGUUAAACCUAGUUCCAAAUUACUGCUACCGUACCGGAUCUACGGGUGCAGUAGUUUCAUAAAUUUUACAAAAAUUACAAACAUGCGAUUAUUAUAAUUAAUAAACACCAUAGCGUUUGCCGGGUUAUUGUUGAAUAAUUAGACAAAUUCCAAAUUAAAUUCCGAAUAUAAAUCAUGACCAAAUCAGAAGAACUGAAACAAAAGCCAAAUCAGAUGAUGCGUACUGAUUAGACUUACUGAUUGUUGGCGCGCGCCAGGAUCAGCUGGGUCGACGAUGUCAGAAGAUCACGAGCAGUCGCGUGAAGACGCUUCCCAAAAACCUUAUUCGCCCUCUCCCGGUGCAGGAUCUAGAAGACGAAGGGUUCCGGAGACCUGCUCUCCUGAUCGCAGAUGCACCUCUGCGGUCGGGACGAAGGGAACUAAAAGGCGGCUCAGCUAUGAAGAGAGGCGAAAGCGAACUGGGAUCUGGGGAUGAUGUGGAGGCUGGCUGCCGGGCUCCUUUUAUAGGGCCGAGUCCGCGACCCCCGUGCUUAUCCACCCACGAAAAUCUCGCAAUCAGUUGAGAUUUUGUAGCGAUCGGUUAGGAUAAGCGUAACAGCCAAGAAACCAAAAAAUCAAACGGCAAAAGGUAGCCGCGCCCCCGCAAGGCGAGGGGCCGGAUUUCGGCGGACCAUUCACGCGCAUGUCGUGCGCCCGCGCCCUUCGCCCCGCCCCGCCCCGCCCCGGCCCGGCCCGGCCCGGCCAGGCCGGGCCAGGCCAGGCGAGGCGAGGCGAGCGAGCGCGCGCGCGCGUGUGGCUCUCCACACUCUCUCCUCUCAUCCAUGACUUGGUGAGUGAGUGUGGCUUCCAUAUUUAAGUUAGCUCUACUCCACAAGAGCUAGCAAUAUGGUGCUAUUGGUUCCACCUAUCCCUUUGCCAUCCACUUAUAUGGGCUUUUGAGAUUUUCCUGGGAUUUAUUUGAAUAACUUAAUUGGGCCAAGCCCAUAAAUCCUAACAAUCCCCCACCAGAUCUCAAAUGCCCAUCUGCAGUUUUCGCCACUGUUCACUACUGUUUAAUAUACUAGUUUUUCAGCAGAGACUGUUAAGUUGAACUUCCGCCUAGAACUCCAAGCUACACCAACCCACAACUUGGACAAUGGACUAUGCCUUGAAUUGCAAGUUUUGCGUGAAUGGGUUUCACUUGAAGUCAUGACCAGUACUUGGCUACCAGUAGUCCCCUUCUCGGGUGGAGCAUAUACGUCGUACUCCAAGGUCUCUUCAUGAGUUUACUAGAGAUCACCCAAAUCUCAUAGACUGCGACGUUAGACAGUCUAACUCAUAUAGGUGUGUUCUUUCAAAGAAUGUUCUGCAGGACAACAUCUUCGCUAAUACAAGCCAACAGAACACAUUAAGGCACAAAGCCAACCUGCCUUACAGCAUUUGAGAGUAUUGCAUCUUUACUUAGAGAGGGUCAAAAGUUACUCUCCUCAGUUCACCAAUGGCUUGUUCUUCCCAGGACCUAAUUCACGGGAUCUCCGAUCACAUAGACUGGGUUUCCACCAUGGCAACUUUAUUCGGGUCUCAUACCCAUCUCUCUCGAUGCGAUUUCUAUCACAUUACGUGGUAGUCCCUUGGUAAAAGGAUCUGCCAGAUUUUUAUCUGUUGAAAUAUAAGUCACACUUAUAACUCCGGAGUUUCUCAACUUUCUGACAGACUUCAAUCGUCUUUUGACAUGUCUUGAUGACUUUCCAUUAUCCUUAGAACUCGUCACUUUAGCAAUCACUGUCUGAUUGUCACAGUUCAUAAGGAUAGCUGGUAUUGGUUUCUCAACCACCGGCAAGUCCAUCAAGAGUUCACGCAACCAUUCUGCCUCAACGGUUGCUGUGUCAAGUGCAGCUAGCUCGGCUUCCAUGGUUGACCUCGUCAAAAUGGUCUGCUUGCAUGACCUCCAUGAUACCGCACCUCCACCAAUAGUAAAGACAUAACCACUGGUGGCAUAAAGCUCGUCUGCAUCAGAUAUCCAGUUCGAAUCACUAUAUCCUUCAAGUACUGCAUGCUGACCAGAAUAGUGAAUUCCAUAACUCAUUGUACCUUGCAGGUAGCGCAUAACCCGCUCAAGUGCAUGCCAAUGAUCAGUCCCGGGGUUUGACAUGAACCUACUCAAUUUGCUCACAGCAAACGAGAUAUCGGGCCUUGUUGCACCAGCAAGAUACAUGAGUGAACCGACAAUCUGAGAGUAUCUCAAUUGGUCUAAACCAAUUCUCUUGUUCUUUCGCAGUGUCACACUGGGAUCAUAAGGAGUUGGAGAAGGUUUGCACUCAGAGAAGCCAAAUCACUUCAAAACCUUUUCAACAUAGUGAGAUUGCGAGAGAGUAAUCCCACCAUCUGCCUUAAUCAGCUUGAUGUUUAGAAUCACAUCAGCUUCUCCCAGAUCUUUCAUAUCAAAACUCUUUGAUAGAAAAGACUUGACUUCAUUGAUCACAUCAAUGUUUGUGCCAAAUAUCAAUAUAUCAUCAACAUAUAAGCACAAUAUAACUCCUUCGCCCCCACCACAGCGAUAAUAUACACACCUGUCUGCCUCAUUAAUGGCAAAGCCUGCAGACGUUAGAGUAGUGUCAAACUUCUCAUGCCACUGCUUUGGUGCUUGCUUCAGACCAUACAAAGAUUUCAAUAACUUGCACACCUUGCUUUCUUGACCCUUUACUACAAAUCCAUCAGGCUGUUCCAUAUAGAUUUCCUCGUCCAGCUCUCCAUUAAGAAAAGCUGUCUUUACAUCCAUCUGAUGAACAAGGAGACCAUACGAGGCAGCCAAAGAAAGUAGUACUCGAAUAGUGGUCAUUCUAGCAACAGGUGAGUAAGUAUCAAAGAAGUCUUCUCCUUCUUUCUGAGUAUAGCCUUUAGCCACAAGCCUAGCCUUGUACUUUUCAAUUGUACCAUCAGGCUUGAGCUUCUUUUUAAACACCCACUUACAACCCACGGGUUUGCAUCCAUAGGGUCGAUCAGUGACUUCCCACGUACCAUUUGAAAGAAUAGAGUCCAUCUCAUUAUGAACUGCUUCUUUCCAAUCAUCUGCAUCUGGAGAUGCAAAUGCUUCUGCAAUGGUAGUAGGAGUAUCGUCCACAAGGUACACAAUGAAAUCAUUACCAAAGGAUUUUUCAACCCUUUGUCUCUUGCUCCUUUUAGGAGCAUCAUUGUCAUCCUCCUCUAGGACAAUUUCAUGUGGCUGUUCAAAACUCUCAAUAGGUGUAUUAUGUUCAGGAAUUAUCUCAGAAGAGUAUCUAGAAUUGCUAUGAAUGUCUUUCAUUGGAAAUAUAUGCUCAAAGAAAGUAGCAUCACGUGAUUCCAUAAUAGUAUCAACAUACACAUCAGGAACUUCAGAUUUAACUACUAAAAAUCUAUAUGCUAUGCUACACGAAGCAUAUCCAAGAAAGACACAAUCCACUGUCCUUGGACCAAGCUUGCGCUUUUUAUUAAUUGGUACAUUGACUUUCGCCAUGCACCCCCAAGUGCGCAAGUAUGAAAGUGAUGGUUUUCUCCCAACCCACUUCUCAUAAGGGGUUUUCUCUUCUUUGCCCAUAGGAAUUCUAUUCAGAACAUGACAUGAAGUCAGGACUGCCUCCCCCCACCAUGCCUUAGAUAAACCACAAGUGUCUAACAUGGCAUUCACCAGGUCAGUCAACGUACGGUUUUUCCUUUCAGCAAUCCCGUUUGACUCGGGUGAAUAGGGAGGAGUCCUCUCAUGAAUAAUGCCAUGUUCUGCACAGAAAUCGUCAAAGACUUUGGGAAAGAACUCGCCACCACGAUCUGAUCUAAGACGUUUGAUCUUUCUCUCUAGUUGGUUUUCAACCUCAGCCUUAUAGAUUUUAAAGUAGUCUAAAGCCUCAUCUUUAGUUUUUAGCAAGUAUACAUAGCAAAAUCUAGACGCAUCAUCAAUCAAUGUCAUGAAGUAUCUCUUACCACCUUUUGUCAACACACCAUUCAUCUCACAAAGAUCAGAAUGUAUGAGUUCUAGUGGUGCCAGGUGUCUCUCCUCAGCAGCCUUAUGAGGCUUUCGAGGUUGCUUCGACUGCACACAACUAUGGCACUUAGAACCUUUGACUAUGGUGAUAUUCGGAAUUAAACUCAUGGUUGCAAGCCGAGACAUAGAGCCAAAAUUAAUAUGACACAAACGAGAAUGCCAAAUACUCGCAAGAUCAUCAACAUUAGCACAAAUAUGGUUCACAGACUUAUUAUUGAAAUCUAACAAAGAAAAGCGGAACAAGCCUCCGCAAUCAUAGCCUUUACCAAUAAAUUGUCCAGACUUGGACACAACUAAUUUAUUGGACUCUAAAACUACCUUGAACCCAUCUCUACAUAGAAGGGUUCCGCUAACGAGAUUCUUGUGUAUAGAAGGGACAUGAUGCACGUUCUUCAGCUGCACGAUCUUUCCCGAAGUAAACUUCAGAUCCACCGUGCCAGUGCCAUGAACAGAAGCAUGUGACCCAUUCCCCAUUAGCACGGAAGAAUCCCGGGCGCCCUGAUAAGAAGAGAACAAGUUGAUGUCAGAACACACAUGAACAUUAGCACCAGUAUCAAGCCACCAGCUAGGUGAUUGAAAUACUGAGAAGAUGAAAGGUAAAUUACCAUACCCUUUGUCUUCCUCAUUGCUAGCGACCACUGUGUUGACAUUGCCCUUUUUGCCACGGCGAUCCGCUCGAUCGGGACAAUCCUUGGCAAAAUGACCCGCCUCGCCACAUGCGAAACAUGUCAAUUCAGCCUUGUUCUUCUUCUUCUUGAAGUUGGUAGUUUUGUUGGGCUUGUUAGAUUUUGGCUUUCCUUUGCCCUUGUUGUGGUUCUUCUGAACCAUGUUGGCGCUGGAGUGGCCCUCGCCUCCUUUAGAUCCCGUGUCCUUAGCCCGAGCUUUCUCCUCAACAUCCAGAGACGCUAUCAGAUUUUCAACUGAUAUCUCCUGUCUCUUAUGUUUCAGAGCUGUGGCGAAGUUCCUCCAUGUAGAAGGCAACUUUGCAAUAAUGCAUCCGGCCACAAAUCGGUCAGGAAGGACUAUCUUAAGGUGGUCGAGCUCCUUGGCUAUACACUGUAUUUCAUGAGCUUGCUCUACAAUAGAGCGAUUAUCAACCAUCUUAUAAUCAUGAAAGCUCUCCAUGAUAUACAGGUCACUGCCAGCAUCUGAUGCACCAUACUUAGUAGUAAGUGCAUCCCACAACUGUUUCCCGUCUGUGUACUGCAUAUUCGCAUCAACCAGACGGUCAACAAGGGCGCUAAAAACGGCUCCCGUGAACAUAGUAUUGGCAUGGUCGUACUCUUUCUCCUGUUCAGGAGUCAGUGGACCCUCAGGUCUGCCUUUACUAACAUGGAAGACAUUCAUAGCAGUAAGCCAGAGCGUGGCCUUGACUUGCCAUCUCUUAAAGUGCAUACCAUUAAACUUUUCUGGCUUCAGCGCGUCGGCAAAAGCAGCCAUAGAAAAACUAGGAAAUUGUCUACAAUAAGGUUUUUGGAUUGUUGAAUAAUUAGACAAAUUCCAAAUUAAAUUCCGAAUAUAAAUCAUGACCAAAUCAGAAGAACUGAAACAAAAGCCAAAUCAGAUGAUGCGUACUGAUUAGACUUACUGAUUGUUGGCGCGCGCCAGGAUCAGCUGGGUCGACGAUGUCAGAAGAUCACGAGCAGUCGCGUGAAGACGCUUCCCAAAAACCUUAUUCGCCCUCUCCCGGUGCAGGAUCUAGAAGACGAAGGGUUCCGGAGACCUGCUCUCCUGAUCGCAGAUGCACCUCUGCGGUCGGGACGAAGGGAACUAAAAGGCGGCUCAGCUAUGAAGAGAGGCGAAAGCGAACUGGGAUCUGGGGAUGAUGUGGAGGCUGGCUGCCGGGCUCCUUUUAUAGGGCCGAGUCCGCGACCCCCGUGCUUAUCCACCCACGAAAAUCUCGCAAUCAGUUGAGAUUUUGUAGCGAUCGGUUAGGAUAAGCGUAACAGCCAAGAAACCAAAAAAUCAAACGGCAAAAGGUAGCCGCGCCCCCGCAAGGCGAGGGGCCGGAUUUCGGCGGACCAUUCACGCGCAUGUCGUGCGCAAAAAAUCAAACGGCAAAAGGUAGCCGCGCCCCCGCAAGGCGAGGGGCCGGAUUUCGGCGGACCAUUCACGCGCAUGUCGUGCGCCCGCGCCCUUCGCCCCGCCCCGCCCCGCCCCGCCCCGCCCCGCCCCGCCCCGGCCGGGCCGGGCCGGGCCGGGCCGGGCCAGGCGAGGCGAGGCGAGCGAGCGCGCGCGCGCGUGUGGCUCUCCACACUCUCUCCUCUCAUCCAUGACUUGGUGAGUGAGUGUGGCUUCCAUAUUUAAGUUAGCUCUACUCCACAAGAGCUAGCAAUAUGGUGCUAUUGGUUCCACCUAUCCCUUUGCCAUCCACUUAUAUGGGCUUUUGAGAUUUUCCUGGGAUUUAUUUGAAUAACUUAAUUGGGCCAAGCCCAUAAAUCCUAACAGUUAUAGCAAGAUGGGAGAUUUGUGACGUGCUCACCAGAUUGAAGGGCAAAAUCUUAUUCAGGUGGUUGUAGACCAAUCGACUUGGAGCAAGCAAAAUGUAGGUAUUAGCAAUGGGAGCCUGAUCGGUCUAAGACAAAGAGCACAAUUAGAAGGAAAAAUGGCUCACUACCCUGGUAGCCACGACCAUGGUUGAGAACAACAUAGGGUAGUGCUUUCUUUUAUUAGGACGCCUCCACGAUUUGGCUGGCGUUUGCAUGGGCUGCGCACGCGGCUUCAACCAUUUAUGCCCACGUAAGACUGGCUACAGUGAGGUAAAUUUGCAGACCGUGCUGGAGUUUUGAGAGAGGAACACAUCACCAGCCGAGUCAUUGGUUUGGAUAGUUUUCUUUUUGACUUCACCAAUUUAAACGUUUGUAGUUCAGACUUAUCCCUUCUCCAAACAUUAAUAUUUAUUUACCUGCCCCCUUCAAACAGAAACAAGGCACCCAACGACCGAUUUUUUUUUUCUCCAAAAGACAGCACUUACUGAAAUUAGACCCCUUCGUUUACCCCAUUAGAUCUAAGCUACUACACUAAACUGAAAUAGGCUUUCCCCUCCCUCAUUUUCUGCUGACAGGGCAACUUUGGGGUUACUAUAUUCCUUUCUUCAUGUAGAAUUAUACCACCCCUCUUUACCGAAACUCGCCCUGCUUUCCAUGGGCUAUCAAUUUAUUUUAAACACCUUGGUUUAAGACGCUACAGAACGGCAUCUGCAGAGCCCCAAAGUAAUAAAAAAUUUACUAUCAAGGUCACCCGUGUGUGAUCGAGCCAAACAACUAUAACACCUGACAGGGAGAGUUUGGGCACAGUUUACUCCAGAUUUGGUGCAGCACCAAGCAAAACUUUCUUAAGAAAACUUGUUCACUAUCAUAUAAUCUUCAACUUUGAUGUAAAGAGUAUGGCUCAAUACUCCCCGGAUCAUUCACCAAGGAACCCCAAAGUUAGAUCAAUCACACAAAUCCCAGUGUGUUGAAAUGGGGCUAAGUCUGAAUCCAGAUUUAAAAACACUGAACCUUUAGACCACUGUUACUGCCAGUUUCACAUGGCUUUAGAGGUAGGAUCCUUUAUCAAACUUGCACACCAACACGUGGUCUUCCACUUUGUUUCAAUACUCAUGGCGUAAAAAAAUAUGGAUCAGCCAUUAAGGAGAUCUCAAAACGGCUUCAGAUUAUAAAACUAGCAAGACUGAAAUGCCUCUUAAGUCUGAUUUUUCAGAGUGAACAUUCCAUCACUUAAAAGUAAAGUUGCCCUUUAACUCAAGGCCCAACUUUAGUACAUAGAUCCCAUGUCCAAAGCAUUUUUUAACUUAGGAGUGGUUUACUUGCACUUGAUCUCUCACUAACUCUAAAACUUAUCUAACUCUCAACAAGACAACACACCACAUAUGGUUUGAAAGUUUUGACCUAGUGAAUGCACUCUAGGUAUAUCAAGCAAGAUGAUGCUGAUGCAUAUGAUGACAAGCCAAGGUUUUAGUUCUCGUAACACCAGAGGUGUUACAUCCUUUCCCCCUAAAAAGGAAUCUCGUCCCGAGAUUAAAAUUUUAGGCUAAAUAAUAGAAAAGGAAAUGUGUCAUGAUCUUAUUUCACAUUUGUUCUUACAAGGUAGGGGUGUGCCCCUGUUGGUUCACAUCAUGACAAUUUACAUAAGGCCUAGGAUUUACAAGAAUCUAAAAACUGAGGAAAUGCUCUAUUAAGUAGUCUUCUGAUUGCCAAGUAGCCUCACCUUCGGAAUGCUGGUUCCAUUGUACUUUGUAAAAUUUGAUGAUCUUUCUUCGCGUGACUCUGUCUUUCUGGUCCAGCACCCGAAUAGGAUACUUAGAGUAAGUCAGAUCAUGCUCGAGGUUGACAUCUGAAACAUCUACUACUUGUUCGGGGACUCGGAGACAUUUCUUCAGUUGAGAUACGUGAAACACGUUGUGCACAGCUGAAAGACUUUCUGGUAGUAGGACCUUGUAAGCCACAUGUCCACACCGCUCAAGCACUAGGAAUGGACCAACAUAGCGAGGUGUGAGUUUUCCUUUGACACCAAAUCGAGUUACGCCUUUCAUAGGUGACACUUUUAGAUACACAUGAUCACCAACAUGGAAAAUCAAAGACCGACGUCUUUUAUCCGCAUAACUCUUUUGACGAGAUUGUGCCCUUUGCAAAUUCCGUUGGAUCACUUGAACUUUUUCUUCAGCUUCCUUUACAAGAUCAGGCCUAAAGAAGUAUUUCUCUCCUGGUUCUGACCAAUUCAACGGUGUCCUACAUCUUCGACCAUAAAGAGCUUCAAAGGGUGCCAUUUUUAUGCUUUCUUGGUAACUAUUGUUAUAUGAAAACUCGGCCAAAGGCAGGCAUUCAUCCCACUUAACUGAAUAAGCAAGCACACAGGAUCUUAACAUAUCCUCCAAAAUCUGAUUUACCCGUUCUAUUUGUCCACUGGUUUGCGGAUGAUAUGCUCAACUAUGAAUUAGCUUAGUACCCAGAGAUUUAUGCAAUUCUUCCCAAGACAUGGAGACAAAUUGUGGUCCCCUGUCGGAUACAAUUGUUUUAGGCACUCCAUGUAGACUCAGGAUACGAGCAAUAUACAGAUCAGCAUAGGUCCUUGCUGGGUAUAAAGUCUUCACUGGCAAGAAGUGUGCUAGCUUGGUGAGACGAUCAGAUCAACAAUCACCCAGAUAGAAUCAUACCAUUUUGAGGUUUUGGGUAAACCAACAAUGAAGUCCAUACAAAUAUCUUCCCACUUCCAGGCUGGAAUGGGUAAAGGUUGCAAUGGCCCGGCAGAUUUCAAAUGGACGGCUUUCACUCGUUGACAAAUGUCACACCUUGCCACAUACCGAGCAAUUUCUAUUUUCAUCUUAGUCCACCAAAACCUUUGCUUCAGAUCUUGAUACAUCUUAUUGCUUCCUGGGUGAAUGGAAUACCGAGACAAAUGAGCUUCGUCUAGUAUUUGUUGACGUAGUUCAAGUACCUUUGGAACUACCAAAACAGUGUUUGAACCAAAGGACACCCUUUUCAUCGAUUCUAAAACAUGUAGCCUUUCCUGCUUCAACUCGUUCCUUGAUAUGAGCUAUACCCUUAUUGACCUUUUGAGCAUCAACAAUUUGGCUUUGAAUAGCUGAUUCAAGAAUAAGAUUCGCUAUGGUUCCAUGCUGAAUUAUUCCCAAAUUCAUCCUUUUCAUUUCCUGACACAAGGUGACAAUUAAAGGUUCUGCCAAAAGACAAUUACACCGAGAUUUCGGGCUUAGAGCAUCUGCCACCACAUUAACUUUGCCAGGAUGGUAAUGAACCUCGAGAUCAUAGUCCUUGAUCAACUCUAACCAUCUUCGUUGCCUCAUAUUCAGCUCGGAUUGAGUGAAGAUAUACUUUAAACUUUUAUGGUCUGUGUAUAUAUGACAUGUAUUACCCAACAGAUAAUGGCGCCAGAUCUUGAGGGCAUGAACAACAGCAGCCAAUUCAAGAUCAUGGGUUGGGUAAUGUUCCUCAUGACGUUUGAGUUGUCGAGAUGCAUAGGCAAUCACCCGACCUUCUUGCAUAAGUACACACCCAAUACCAAUGCCCGAAGCAUCACAAUAAACAUCAAACGAUUUCGCAAUAUUAGGCUGAGCCAAUACUAGUGCGGUAGUCAACAACCUUUUUAGUUUUUCAAAAGCUUUGUUGCACUCGAAUGACCACACAAACUUGACAUGAUUCUUGAGCAACUCAGUAAUGGGCUUAGCUAUCUUGGAGAAAUCCGGAAUAAAACGACGAUAAUAUCCCGCCAUUCCAAGGAAACUUCGGACUUGAUGAACUGUAGUAGGUGGUUUCCAUUCCAAAAUGUCCUUGACUUUACUUGGGUCUACCGCAACACCUUGGGCAGACAAGAUAUGACCCAAGAACGGAAUUGUGUCCAACCAAAAUUCACAUUUGCUGAACUUGGCAUAUAGUUGAUGUUCUCUUAACCGCGUUAGAACAAUGCGUAAGUGCUCCACAUGUUCUUCUUUGGUCUUGGAGUAUAUCAAGAUAUCAUCAAUAAAUACCAUGACAAACUUGUCAAGCUCAGGCAUGAACACUGAGUUCAUCAAGUACAUGAAAUGCGCUGGAGCAUUGGUCAGACCAAAAGACAUAACCAAAUAUUCAUACAGACCAUAUCGGGUAGUGAAAGCAGUCUUAGGAACAUCUUCAGGACAGAUUCUUAUCUGGUGAUAACCCGAUCUAAGGUCAAUCUUAGAAAACACCUUAGCUCCAGAAAGUUGAUCAAACAAUAAAUAAAUACGAGGGAGAGGAUAUUUGUUCUUAAUGGUCACCUCGUUAAGUGGUCGGUAAUCAACACAUAACCGGAGUGUUUGAUCUUUCUUCUUCACAAAAAUGGCAGGACAACCCCAAGGUGAUGAACUUGGGCGAAUGAACCCUUUGUUGAGCAAGUCCUGCAAUUGAGUCUUCAGUUCUGCUAACUCCUUAGGUGCCAUUCUGUAUGACCUUCUAGAUAUGGGUGCAGUACCUGGUUGCAAUUCGAUCACGAAUUCAACGUCCCUUUCUGGAGGCAACCCAGGUAAAGCUUCAGGAAAUACAUCAGGAAAUUCUCUAACAACAGGUAUAUCUUUCACCUCUUUAACGAUAGCAGCACAUACUCUUUCUACUACUCUCCUUGGUGUUGAUACCUGGAUCAACAACUUAUACUUACCAUUGGGUGAGUCCAACUGUAUUGUCCGUUGCAACGCGUUGAUCACCGCCCCAUGCUGCCGAAGCCAAUUCAUACCAAGAAUCACAUCUAUAUCUUGAUUUUGAAGAACUAGCAUGUUGGUAGGGAACAUGUGACCAACCAACUUUAUGGGUAUCUGAUAUACCAUCUCUUUAGUAUGCAAGAGUCCUCCAGGAGAUUGUAUACAAUACCCAGUAUCCACCACUUCCAUAGGCAACUGCUGCUUCAACACAAAUGUUCGAUUUAUGAAGGUGUGUGAGGCACCAGAAUCAAAUAAAAUACUCGCCAAAUGAUUGGCAACCAAAAAAGCUCCCAUCAUAACUGGUUCACCCUCAGGAAUAGCUUUGAUUUUGGUAUAAUGGACCUGACCCAAUUUAAGAACAAUCACAUUCUUCCUUGCUUUUUGCUGGCUACUUCGAGGGAGAUUCACAAGUGAUUGCCGCACAUCCACUAGCUUAGAGAAGCGACAAUCCUGAGUAGAGUGUCCUGACUUACCACACUUCUCACAUGGUUUGGCAUUGGAUGGAAUAUUUUUAGAACGAAUGUCUAGGUCAUCCGGCUUAGGUGGAAUGAAAGGGAUAACAGCCUGACUUUCGCAUGACUGCGGUGUGCUAGACAGCUGGAGUGGAGAAGAAAGAGGAUAAUAAAUAGGUUGAUAAACAACCCUCUGGUACCGUUUAACUUUACUAGAGGAUUCCUCCCCAAAUUUCUUUCUUUUAGACUCUUGAUGAAGCCAAAUCUUGUUAUCACCCAAAACAGCCUGACUGACCACUUCAUUAUAUCUUUCAGCCAAACUGGUUGCCAUCAAACACUGGAGCUUCUCAUUAAGACCAAACAGGAAGUAGAACUUUUUCUUCUCAUUGGUAUUCACAAAAUCCAAAACAUAUUGGGAUAAGCAGGUAAACCUCUCAAAAUAUUCCAUUACACUCUCUUCUUCCCCUUGCUUCAAAUCUAAGAACUCAUUGAAUUUGAUUUCCAUCAGGGCUUUCAGAAUAUAACGUGUCUGAAAUACUUCCUGGAAUUCGGCACAAGAAAUUUGAUGCCCGUCUGGCUGUAGUGCAAGGUAUUCUGCCCACCAGGCUCCAGCUUGACCCUGAAGUUGUUGUGCUGCGCACUGAGUUUUCUGAACAUCAUCACAACAGAUGAUUCCCAAUUUCUGUUCAAUGGUUCGAAGCCAAUCUUCUGCCUCCAACGGAUCUUCCGCUUUGGAGAAUACUGGUGGUUGCAUGCUAAGAAACUCUUUAUAGAGGAUAGCAGAAUCAGAAUCAUGAUGACCAUAUGGAGUUGAUGUUGUAGGCUGAGCUAUUUGCUGUAGAACAGCGCUCACAUUCGCAAGUUGAGCCACAACAUCAUCCAAAGUUGAUGCCGGAGGUGGAUUGGGUGCAUUGGCAUUCCUCUAGGAAGCACCAUGAUCCUUUCUAGAACGAGUCCUCAUUCUGCCAAUUAAAAAGGCAACUUAGUCCCCAGUCUUCACGGAUAGGAAAGGCAGCAUAGAAAAGUAAAGACAGGUAGCAUGAAUAGGGUGGAUGGAACACAUAUUAAAAUGGUUACACAGGGGGUUUAACUUAAAGUUGUAUGCCAUGAUGCAUGCUCGUCCUAUUCGUCCUCACGAUUCUUGCCAACAUAUAGUGGCUAUCACGUUCUAUGGCGGUGGCAUACCUACUCACUCCGGAGUUAACUAGUCGUACUUUCCUAGUGUUUAGUUAGUGUACCUGCAAAAAAUUCCAUUACAGCCUAAACCCCAUGAUGCAAUUCACACAUUUGGUCACAGUUUAUACUCCAUAUAUUUCUAUAUGGAUGCCAGCUCCUCAUUAAGAGCCGAGCCACGCAUAGGCGCCGCUGCCACACUUUAACCACAUGGCAGCCCAUUGUGGUAACUUACUUUCUUACCUGCACGUAGGUGCGUCGUUACAAGUACACUACACUUUUCAGUAUUCCCAUGUCUGUAUACCCAUACACAUCCAGGAGUACUGAAUUCCCAGAAAAAUAAUUACUCCACAAUGCAACCUUCAUAUAUACAUAUAUGUAACAUGUAUAUAGUACAGUGCCACAAUUAAGCGCUCCCCUAGACCGACGUUUGUUUAGUCAUGCUCUCACAACUCACCUUACCUGAGCGUCGAUCCAUUCAAAACAGAAUGGCCCCAAAAUAACAUUACACAUGCAUGCAGUUCCCUACCCUGUUGUGGGUUAGUGGUUAACAUCUUAAACUAGGCCACCUUAUAGUCCUUAGUUUUAACCAUAUACUAUUUACACUUCUACUAUCAGGCUUUGCUUAUCCAUUAUUAAGUUUUUCCAAAGUGAUUUGAACUCAAAAUCAUUUUGAAGUUUAUCAAAGGAUUACUUUAAUAUCCAUGCUAAUGGGGGAUCGCUCCGAUACCACGCUGUGAUAGUCCUCCCAAGUUAUCAGGCCCAUAUGCACCAAUCCUUGCCUUAAUGACCUCAGAUGGCUGUGCACGUGUACCGGGUAACUUAACAAGGCUAUCGAGUUCGCCAACUGGAACUCAUCAUCCCAAGGAUCUCCCACAUAACAGGUAUAUUACAGUAAUCACAUUUGAUACACACAUAUUGGAGAUAGAGCAGAAGACUUUUACAAAGUACACUUUACAUUCCAAAACUCAAGUUUUACAUGGAAGAAAAAGAUGUAUUUAUUACAAGUCCCGAUAGUACUCGAAGUGCAUAACUUAUUACAAUAAUUGGAAGGGUGAAGCCUUUCCAUAAGAGAUAUAUAAAAACAUUCUAAGAUUCAAGUCCUCCACAUGAAGUAACUAACCCAAAGAUAAGGGAAUAAAACUUCUCCUACAAAAACAACAAGGCAUAAAACCCUGAGUAUGCAAUUACUCAGCAAGACUUACCCGACUAAGGAAAAGACUCUCAAGGGUACGCUGGCUUUUGGGAAUCAAGGUAAAGCUCAUCAAUUAUCAAGGACUCCUUUUUGCAGAAAAGCAGGCUUACUAAUAAUGGAUCCUUAAGCCAAGUUUUACUUCACAAGUUAGGUUAUAACCUGAAUCUAGCAUUUGCCUAAUCUAGAUCAUUCACUUGACCUAAACUAGGUCGCUUUUACUCAAAGCUUUGUUAUACUUGUUAACUACGCUGUAGGUCGAAGAUCUAGUCUUCAUAGCCGAGAAGUAACGGUGAUCUGAAUCGAUUAAUACCUAGAUGGGGAUCUCCAACCACACGACAUAUGCUUCCCUUAAUUCUUUUGCACAUGUCUACCAUUCCCACGGAUCCUCCACCACAUUAAUAGGUCCGCGCCACCCGAGAGCACAAUACUCCACCAUCCAGCCAUGUGCCAGGUGCGUACACACCACUCUCGCCAUCUCUGCACUCCCAUUGCGCGAUUGUCUUUUCACGUAUGGAAUAGCCGGGUUCAGGCUUACCCAUGACGAGGUGUGUGGCCAGAUAAAAGGUCCUAGAUCAGCAGGACAACAAUCAGUGCAGUCCUUAAUCGACAUAGACGGGCGACUUUUCCUGUUCAGCGUCUGGUCUCAUUUUAAAUUAUUUCAAAACUUUGGCGCCUGGCAGAGGGGCCACACCUGGAUAAUGAAUUUAUCAACGUCUUGAUGCCUUCAUUAUCCCAAGCCCAUUUUCUUUUUUGUAAAAACAUGAGUCAUAGAUCAAAAAUAUUUUUCUUAAUCUAUCAGCGUGACCGAAUUUUUUGUUUUUUAGCCCCUUUUAUGACACAAAUUUACGUUUGGACCCUCAAAAAUUUUAUUUGCACGUUUGGACCCGAUGCUCGGCGCCAUAGGCUGUGGCGCCGAGGUAACACAACUCGGCGCCACAACCUAUGGCGCCGAGCUAUGAUGUGGCAGCAACGGCUACCUGCGCCUAGGGCUGACCUGGCGCCGACGUGGUGGCGACGCGGCCUCGUAGCUCGGCGCCACAGAUCUUGGCGCCGAGCUACGAAUGCCUAUAAAAACGGCCGCGCGGCUGGCCGAGAGCAGCACAUUUCCACUCAUUUCCAAACUUCGUAAAAAUUUGCUGGAUUCAAAGAUUUGUGUUGCUUCACUUCGUAGACCAAGGUAUGGUGCCCAACUGAUUCGUUUUGUAUAUUGGGUUGUUAGUUUCAUAGUUGCUCAUAGUUUAAUAGUUUGUAUAAACCUAUUAUAUUAUCAUUUCGAUUAUUAGUUUGUGUAAAUUUAUUAUAAAGCAUAUUAGGUACAAGUGAUAAUUAUAAUCGUUUAUUAGAUGAAAGACAUGUACCGUGAGGAGUUGUGGCAGAAGAGAGGUCGUCCUCGGGAGUUAUAUCCGGACGUAUCUAGUAAGGAUGCUCCUAUUCCUCCUGAAUUCCCCGUGCCUAACUGUGACUGUGGCAGACUGGCUUGGGUACAUCAAUCACAACAUCCAGACACGGCUGCUCGCUGCUACUACCUUUGUGGCGGUUUGGACGUACGUAGCUUAUGACUUGUCACUUAAUUUUGUUCGCAUUCAUUAUUUUGUAGAUGUGUAAUAGUGCUUCUUUUCCAUUAUUUUAGGGGCAUCAGAGGUGUUUCUUUUUCCAGUGGAUCGACGGUCCUGAUAAAUUUGACCCUCGAUAUCUUCUUUUCGUAAAUUGGUUGAGUGGAAGGACCAGUCAUGAGCGUUUUAAGCGUUGGGUACCUCCUCCCCCGAAUCCUCCACCAAUGACGGAUGCAGAGAAGGAGGUAGCAACAGAAAGACGGAUGGACUCACCGCCUCGAUGUGAUUGUGGAGACCGUGCUGUCAUCGACGAAGACUAUGAGAAGCAGUUCUGUUGUUCGAACAUUGAUUAUGUGAGCCCAUCGAUACGCUAAAUUUAUGAACUAUUUUUUAUUUACAAUAAAUUACUAAUUUUGUCUCCUGCAGCCAUACGGGUGGCGUAAGUGUCGUUUCAGAGAGUGGUUGUAUGGUCCUUUGUCCCAUUGGCCAGAGCCAGAGGUAAAGGAAAAGAGAUACAAUCAGUGGCCCGAAGAAGAGGUCAAAUUUGAUCCAGUACUCUGCAAAUGUGGUAUUGAAGCUAAGUAUGGAUUAGUUCCUUCCGAGCUUGGUGUUGGAUAUUUUUGUGGACAUAUGGUCGAUUACGAUGAGGUUGGUAUUUUUGUUUUUGCACCAUCUGUAAUGUUAUAGCGGUACUUACUAUUUUUUUGUAGGAGACGAGGAAAUGCAGUUGGGAGAGUUACGACGACAAAGGAGAGGUGAUGCACACAAUAGAGUCCAAGAGAAUAAUGGGACAGAAGAUGCGUUGUGGAUCUCGGCUCGUUGAUUCGUACAUUAACGAUCGCAUACGCGACAUGCGUAGGGAAGCAAAAUCUGCCUUUUAUGAUGGCCCGAAGCGUGUAGAGUAUAGGAGGUUGAAGGCAGCAGUUGAGAAGAGAGCACAGGAUGCAAGGGAAUGGGAAGCGGCUCAAGCCGAGAAACAGAUGUUGGAUAAUCUUGCUGAUCGCCUCAAGGGAAGUAAGUGAGAUAAAUGAUAUUAUAAUUAUGUUAGUACAAUAUAUUUAUCUUGACUUUGCUAACUUAUUUUUCUCAUUAUAUUUGCAGAGAUUGGAAGCGGCGUAAACUAUUUGGCUGAUGAGGCGCAUGCGAGAUAUGUUUAGGAUAAAAUGGCAACGGUUGAGCUGAUGGAGGAGGAGGAGGACGACACAUCUAGAUUGAGUGAGCUUAUCGCUCUCGCAGAGGCAGGAUUACAUGAAGUAUAGGAGGACGACACAUCAAGGUUGAGUGAGCUCAUCGCACUAGCUGAGGCAGGAUUACAUGCUCAAGAGGAAGAGGAUGAGUUUAUGUCUCAGGCCGCCGAAGAGGUAGAGGCAGCUUAUUACAAGAAGAAGUCUAAUGAGGCUGAGGCUGAGGAUGAGCUAUUCUCCCAAGCUGCAGAUGAAGCAGAAGCUAAUUAUUACAAGAGAACUGGUGACAAGUGUGAUGCAGGACAAUGCAGCAAGUGGAAUGAGGUUGUCGUUGAGGAUUGCGCGACGGAUGACUCCGAAGAUGAGUUACUCAUAGAUUGUGAUUCAGACUGAAGAAUUGUAGCCUGUUAUGUAGUAUUUUUGUAUCAAAAAUAAUUUAGAACUCUAAAGAUGCGUUACUUAUUGCUUGUUAUGUUUUUUACAAUUCACAAAAAAAUUUUGCAAGAGUUCCCCUUGUUUUAUUAACAACCACAGUUCAAAUAAUCACAUAUUAUAAGACAUGUAAGCAUUUCAACAUAUAAUACAUCACAAAAUAACAUCGAAUAUAAAAACAUCCACAGAACAUAGUUCUUCAUACAAUGUCCACAAACAAAGUCCAAAAUACAAUGUCCACAACACAUAGUCCAAAACACAUAACAUAGUUCAUAUUACAACGUCUCCAGCAUGAGUCCAAAUCACACAGUUUUCAGGAUAAGACCAACAUCACAAA
rnacentral:lncRNA from 1 species